UCAAUGCAUGGCAGCCUUGGUGGGCAACUGACUGCAGUGGUUUCUAGUUCAAAUUAAAACAGCAACUGCCUUGACCAGUGCUGGAGAGAAACAAAUUAAGAUCAAAGCAAAUCUUCAGAGGCCUCCAGACCCUGGAGCUGGGGAUGGAAACUCACCACAGUGCUUAGAAGCUCAACUGGCCAUCAAGUCCAGGGAGUUACUACAGAGCUGGGUCCAGCCACAGCCAGGACAUCCCUGCAUCCAGCACCCCUGCUGCCAGCAUCAACUGCAAGGAGGGAAGUUUGGUUGCUUGUCACUGAGGAGCUCGAAACAAAUGGAUUUGUAUAAAAUGUACUCGCUCCAUUCAUGGCCUCAGCAGCCGUCGGCUGCCUGCCCGGGAGGGAGUGUUGUAAUGUCGUCAUUUUCUAGCUUGGAUUCAAACCAAAUGGUCACCUGCACAUAGAAGUAAUGAUCAUAGAACAAUCUGGUGCCCCUUAAAAAACUCCCAGCUCAAAUCCAAGCCCGGGAGAGGCCGGUGUGCAGACGUGACCCAAGGGGCAGCCAGGCGUGCUGACUGCAGCCCUGCCGGAGGCUGGCGGCUGAGCCCUGCAGCGAUAAAACCCGACUCGCUGGCGGUUUCUUGGCUGGGCUUCUCUUGAGCAAGGAGUGUCUGAAGUGGGGUUUCUCACUGUGCUAUUGUCCUUUGAAAGCAGCCAUCCAGCUUUAGUCCACAGACACUGCCGAGGCGGGCAGCCUGGCAUCCAGCCCGCAGGGAUCUCUGAGCCCUGCCAUCCCAGCCCUGCCUGCUUCCCGCUCCUGCACAGGGAUGGGGAGAGGGACAUCUUCUGCAGCAGCGACUGAAAUCUGUCUGACAUUCAAAACAACGUCUGGAGUUCAUUAGAGCAGCAAUCCGCAGAUUGGGCACCAGGCACUUCUGAGGGAUCACACAAAGGCGCUUCACGGGGGUGUGAGCUCGCCUCGGCGCGUUUUCUUCACGGCCCAAAUUAUUACAGGAUCCAGAUGUGCUCAAAGGCUCAUCUGCAGCGUGUGCAAGCCCAUGGGCUCCCCAGCCCUUUCCUAACCCUGCUGAGGCCAUUCCUGCCUGCUCUGCUGCCCAGCACACAAGCCUUCCCCUGCCUGAGCACCACAGAAAUGCAACAGGACCUGAGGACACGUCACCUCAGGAGUGAACACCUUUAUAAGCAGAGAUAAUCUUCAAACCAGG
rnacentral:lncRNA from 1 species